rnacentral:siRNA from 1 species
CUGCUGGGUGUCAUUCUUGGU